rnacentral:rRNA from 1 species
UACGGAGGGUGCAAGCGUUAUCCGGAUUCACUGGGUUUAAAGGGUGCGUAGGCGGAUAGGUAAGUCCGUGGUGAAAUCCUGCAGCUUAACUGCAGAACUGCCGUGGAUACUAUCUAUCUUGAAUGUCGUGGAGGUUUAGCGGAAUAUGUCAUGUAGCGGUGAAAUGCUUAGAUAUGACAUAGAACACCCAUUGCGAAGGCAGCUAACUACGCGAUAAUUGACGCUGAUGCACGAAAGCGUGGGGAUCAAACAGG